ensembl:snoRNA
AGCACUUGUGUGUGUGUGUGUGUGUGUGUUUAAUUUGUAACACAGCUUUACAAACAAGUGCAAACAGUAAAUCCUCUUUUGCAACCAGAACUCAUUGUUGAGUGUGAGAUUUUGGUACAAAUAAUAAGGAUUAUA